GUACCCUCAAGCCUGGCUUGGUGUUGGGGCUCUGCGCCUUGCAGUCCCUUAAAUUCAGUGGCGGACACGCUAGGUCUCCGAGCGCAGUAGUUUCUUCUCGCUUCGGGCGUCCGGCGUGGGCUUGCCUCGCACCCAACUUCUCAA
rnacentral:misc_RNA from 1 species